GAUGAACGCUGGCGGCGUGCCUAAUACAUGCAAGUCGAGCGGCAGCACGGUCUUCGGACUGGUGGCGAGCGGCGGACGGCUGAGUAACGCGUAGGAACAUGCCCUAAAGUGAGGAAUAACUGCCCGAAAGGGUGGCUAAUGCCGCAUGUGCUCUUCGGAGUAAAGCUUUAUGCGCUUUAGGAGUGGCCUGCGUCCGAUUAGCUAGUUGGUGAGGUAAAUGCUCACCAAGGCGACGAUCGGUAGCUGGUCUGAGAGGAUGAUCAGCCAGACUGGAACUGAGAACGGUCCAGACUCCUACGGGAGGCAGCAGUAGGGAAUUUUCCACAAUGGGCGAGAGCCUGAUGGAGCAACGCCGCGUGCAGGAUGAAUGCCUUCGGGUUGUAAACUGCUUUUAUGUGCGAAGAAUUUGACUGUAACACAUGAAUAAGGAUCGGCUAACUACGUGCCAGCCGCCGCGGUAA
rnacentral:rRNA from 1 species